rnacentral:rRNA from 1 species
AUUGAACGCUGGCGGCAGGCCUAACACAUGCAAGUCGAGCGCGCGGCGGAGGGGGGAGUAAUGUAUGGGGACUGCCCGAUAGAGGGGGAUAACUACUGGAAAAGGUAGCUCAUACCGCAUACUAUCGGAUAACCCAUAUGUGAUGAGCUAGUAGGUGAGGUAAUGGCUCCCCUAGGCGACGAUCCCUAGCUGGUCUGAGAGGAUGAUCAGCCACACUGGGACGGAGACACGGCCCAGACUCCUACGGAGGCAGCAGUGGGGAAUAUUGCACAAUGGGCGCAAGCCUGAUGCAGCCAUGCCGCGUGUAUGAAGAAGGCCCUAGGGUUGUAAAGUACUUUCAGUCGGGAGGCGUUACCGACAGAAGAAGCACCGGCUAACUCCGUGCCAGCCGCCGCGGUAAUUC